rnacentral:tRNA from 1 species
GCACUAGUAGCUCAAAUAAGAGCGCCGGUCUUGUAAACCGGAGGCUGGGGGUUAGAGUCCCCCCUACUGCU